ACGGCCCCUAGAGGUGUUGCAGAUGUGGCUGCCAUGUCACAUCUAUGUCAUCAGGUGGCAAAGAAAAGAGAGGCUCGUCUGUGCCCAGUGUUGUGGCUGUGAACAUCUGGAUGAUUGCUAGUCUGACACU